UCAGAUUGAACGCUGGCGGCAGGCCUAACACAUGCAAGUCGAGCGGUAACAGAUUGAUAGCUUGCUAUCAAUGCUGACGAGCGGCGGACGGGUGAGUAAUGCCUGGGAAUAUACCCUGAUGUGGGGGAUAACUAUUGGAAACGAUAGCUAAUACCGCAUAAUCUCUUCGGAGCAAAGAGGGGGACCUUCGGGCCUCUCGCGUCAGGAUUAGCCCAGGUGGGAUUAGCUAGUUGGUGGGGUAAUGGCUCACCAAGGCGACGAUCCCUAGCUGGUCUGAGAGGAUGAUCAGCCACACUGGAACUGAGACACGGUCCAGACUCCUACGGGAGGCAGCAGUGGGGAAUAUUGCACAAUGGGGGAAACCCUGAUGCAGCCAUGCCGCGUGUAUGAAGAAGGCCUUCGGGUGUAAAGUACUUUCAGUGUGAGGAAGG
rnacentral:rRNA from 1 species